GGGGAUGACUGGCUUUGACAGCGUGUAGACACGGUAGGUAAGCAUGCAGAGUUUUGAUGCUGAAACUCUAUAAUCGCAACAGUAUCAACCUAUAAUUGGCGAAAAUAACAAUUACGCUCUCGCUGCGUAAUCCGAAUAGAGUAGGAUUCCUUAAUUUGCGACACAGGGUUGCAAACGAGACAUCACCCCAUUGCCCCGUUCCGAGACGUUUGGAAAAGGUGGUGCUAAGAAAAUCGGAAAUAGGAUAGACGAAGUCUUGCCGUCUGUCCGAGAUAUAAAGACUAAGGAUAUGAUUGGUUGUCGUGAGCUUGUCAUAUCUCGAAAAUCAAUUCACAGACUAAGCAUGUAGAAAGCCCAUUGGGUCCACGUUUGGACGAGGGUUCAAUCCCCUCCAUCUCCACAA
rnacentral:tmRNA from 1 species